rnacentral:rRNA from 1 species
CCUACGGGAGGCAGCAGUGGGGAAUCUUGCGCAAUGGGCGAAAGCCUGACGCAGCCAUGCCGCGUGAAUGAUGAAGGUCUUAGGAUUGUAAAAUUCUUUCACCGGGGACGAUAAUGACGGUACCCGGAGAAGAAGCCCCGGCUAACUUCGUGCCAGCAGCCGCGGUAAUACGAAGGGGGCUAGCGUUGCUCGGAAUUACUGGGCGUAAAGGGAGCGUAGGCGGAUAGUUUAGUCAGAGGUGAAAGCCCAGGGCUCAACCUUGGAAUUGCCUUUGAUACUGGCUAUCUUGAGUUUGGGAGAGGUGAGUGGAACUCCGAGUGUAGAGGUGAAAUUCGUAGAUAUUCGGAAGAACACCAGUGGCGAAGGCGACUCACUGGCCCAAUACUGACGCUGAGGCUCGAAAGCGUGGGGAGCAAACAGGAUUAGAUACCCUGGUAGUCCACGCCGUAAACGAUGAGUGCUAGUUGUCGGCAUGCAUGCAUGUCGGUGACGCAGCUAACGCAUUAAGACACCUCCGCCGUCGGGGAGGUACGGUCGCGAAGAAUUAAACUACAAUAGAAGUUAGACGGCGUGAGACGUCGCCGACGGACGACGACGAGGGAGGUUAGG